rnacentral:lncRNA from 1 species
CUGGAAAGAGUUUAUAUAAGGGAUAAGGAAGGGAAAAUAUUCCUAAAAACACAACCCCCUCCUCAAAGUUGUGUAUCUUGGACCAGAGGAAACACUAUCAGAAUUGUCUGUUUUGAUAAACCAAAAAAAUAAAAGCAAGACAAAGCUCAAAGGAGUUGUCUAAUUUUCAUAACUCAUUAGAGAUGUUAUGUAAAACUGAGAGAUACCAACAACAAAUACUGUUUUUACACAGAAAUUUUAUAGAAAUUAUAUUUUUAAAAUGUUCGGUACAAUGCUUCUUACAUUUCAAAGUGAUUUAGAUUGUGCAAAAUAAAAGCAAAACAACAAACUCCAAACACUCACAGCUUUCCAUUCUUUCACUCUGAAAUAUUGCCGUGAUUAACUAUGUUCUCUCUGUUCAAUUUUACACAUCCCUUUACAGGGCUUGGAAGGGACCUCAAGAGAUCAUGGAGUCCAACCCCCUGCCAAAGCAGGCUCCCUAAACUAGGUUGCACAGGUGGGCAUCCAGUUGGGUAGUGAAUACCUCCACAGAUGGAGGCUCCACUACCUCUAUGGGCAGUCUGUUCCAGUGCUCCAUCACCCUUACCAUAAAGAAGUUCUUCUGCAUUAUCACAUUCUUAUAAAAAUGUGUAAUUGCACUACCAACAUCACUGCUGCCACAAGCUGCUGUCUUAUCUCAAUAGGAAGUGGUAUCUUUUUAUUUGAACCCUGAAAAUUGCUAUCUAAAAGCCCACACAUUAUCUACUCAUUUACAAGUGUAACAAAGCUUCACAGAUCCCUUUUGUCAGAGCUUCAGAUUUCUGCUUAAAAGUUCUGCUGUUAUUUACAAACUUGGGAAGCACCUCAGUGCUGAUAGAGUAGAGAAGCUUGCUGUGUGUUGUUCAUUCAGGUUACAGUCACAUGUCAACCAAUACACAUCCUCAGGUGUCUUGGGUGGUAUAAUGUUCCUUUAUGGAUACUAUAUGGCUUGCUGCUUUCUUCUCCAUCCUUAAUAGAGAAGACAGAGAUGAUAUUCUACUGCCAAUUCCUCACCUCUUCCAAUUUUUUUAAGGAGAGAUGUAAAAUCAUAGGAUAAUUUUGGCAGGAUAUGACAGCUGGAUGUCUUCUGGUCCAAUCCACUGCUCAAAGCAGAACUGUCUUUGAAUUUAUACUAUGGUGCUCAGGGACUUGCUCAGUCAGUGACAAUAGAUCACCUUGUAAAUUCCACCUUGCGGGCCAUCCUUUACUUCCUUCCUUGUAUUCAGAAUUAAUUUCCACUUAAUUUUAUCCUAAUUUGUGUAUAUUUCCAUUGUUGUCUCAUUAUCAAUAACCAAAUAAACAGAGGACCUUGCAGUCCUUUAUAAGUAGUAUAGUCCUUUUAUAAGCCCUUUUAAGUAGAAGUCUUAUUACUCCAUUUUCUUUGAAGUAAUGAACAUACACUUUUAAUCUCCAUUUAUCAAAUAGAAUUGCUACCAAUUUCUGACAUAUUUUGGAAUCCAAAGUAUGUUUGUUAUUCGAUGGUAAAUACAAUUAAGUUAUUUAUAGUAAUAGCUAGGAUGAGUUAUUUAGAAAGCUCAGCUUUCAAAAUUGACUAUCACUCGCUUUAAUGUAAUAGUAAAUAAAUCAGUUUUACCAGAACCAUGGAUUGUCAUACCCAGUUUGCCACUUCCAUACUUGUGACAUACAACUUUACUUGGAAAAGGUUGGUGUAUGAAAAAUCUGUGUGUCUCUCCUAAGAACAUACUAUAAGGACAGCCAAACUACAUAUGAACAUAGAUCCUUCUACCACAUUAACCUAUCACAGACAAUAGUCAACUUAAAAAAAAAAAAUUCUGGAGGAAAACUGUAAAGAGCAGAUAGUCAUUCAUGUUGACAGACAGCAGAAAGAUCUUUUGGAAAGUGCUGGAAAGUACCACAGUUUUUUAUUUGGUAAGUACAGGCAUUGUGAAAUUUAUUGGGUAAGAAGGCAGCAAAAUAUAAGCAAAGAAGAAGCGGAAAGAAAGAAUACUUUAUUCAUUUUGCAAUUGGGAAUGGCCAUAUUUGUCAUGACAGGGCAAAACCAAGUCAGAGGGUGGACUGCUCUGGUAAGUCCCACUUUACUUCUGAAAAACACCUCCCUCAUUUAAGCCCUUCCCCACUUAGUAUAUAGUGUCCUCUACUGCUGCAUAAUGCUCAACUUAUUUCUUGUGAAGAAGACCUCAGAGGCAAAUUACACAAGGUUCUCCAGGGGGAACACAUACUCAUCCAGCUGCAGAUUCAACCCACCUUGAUCCCUAAGCAGAAGCCUACACUAGGAGCAGACCUCUCAUACCCCCUUUGUACAGCCAAUGGAGAAGAAGGGAUUUCCAAAAAGUGACUCAAAGCAGGGUCUGAAUCUUGCUCAGAAGGAUCCUCUGUGUCUCAUAUAAUAUGCUCCUAGAAUAGCUUCUGGCACACAAUAUUUUUUUUCUAUUGUAAGUUUGUUUGACUUAUAAAACUUUUGAAGGGCACUGUGCUAGAUGUUCUUAAUUCGUAUUGGAAAAAAAAAUCCUGUUUUUAAGCUUUUCUUGGUG